AAGUCGUAACAAGGUUUCCGUAGGUGAACCUGCGGAAGGAUCAUUAACUAGUAUUGAAGUCCACGGGGAUCAGGCUUUCCGAAAGGAGGGUGGGGGGAUGUUUGGUUCCCCCUGCUUGGGCAGACUGGAGAGCAUUGUGUAGCCACUUUUGUUGGCUACGUUAUGUUUGGCCUCUGCUGAUCGAGCUUGUCACCUGAAUUCUACUACCCUUGCUUUUUGCGCACCCAUUGUUUCCUCGGUAGGCUUGCCUGCCAGUAGGACCAUUUAAAACCCUUUGUGAUUGCAAUCAGCGUCAGAAACAACGUAAUCGUUACAACUUUCAACAACGGAUCUCUUGGUUCUG
rnacentral:misc_RNA from 1 species